AUUGAACGCUGGCGGCAGGCCUAACACAUGCAAGUCGAGCGGAUGAAGGGAGCUUGCUCCUGGAUUCAGCGGCGGACGGGUGAGUAAUGCCUAGGAAUCUGCCUGGUAGUGGGGUAUAACGUCCGGAAACGGGCGCUAAUACCGCAUACGUCCUGAGGGAGAAAGUGGGGGAGCUUCGGACCUCACGCGAUCAGAUGAGCCUAGGUCGGAUUAGCUAGUUGGUGGGGUAAAGGCCUACCAAGGCGACGAUCCGUAACUGGUCUGAGAGGAUGAUCAGUCACACUGGAACUGAGACACGGUCCAGACUCCUACGGGAGGCAGCAGUGGGGAAUAUUGGAGAAUGGGCGAAAGCCUGAUCCAGCCAUGCCGCGUGUGUGAAGAAGGUCUUCGGAUUGUAAAGCACUUUAAGUUGGGAGGAAGGGCAGUAAGUUAAUACCUUGCUGUUUUGACGUUACCAACAGAAUAAGCACCGGCUAACUUCGUG
rnacentral:rRNA from 1 species